rnacentral:rRNA from 1 species
GACGAACGCUGGCGGCGUGCCUAAUACAUGCAAGUAGAACGCACAGAUUAUACCGUAGCUUGCUACACCAUAGACUGUGAGUUGCGAAGGGGUGAGUAACGCGUAGGUAACCUGCCUGGCAGCGGGGGAUAACUAUUGGUAACGCUAGCUAAUACCGCAUAAUAUUGAUUAUUGCUUGAACAUUGCUUUAAAAAUUCUAUUGAAUCCCUAUCAGAUAGACCUGCGUUGUAUUAGCUAGUAGGGGAGGUAACGGCUCACCUAGGCGGCGAUACAUAACCUACCUGAGAGGGUGAUCGACCACACUGGGACUGAGACACGGCCCAGACUCCUACGGGGGGGAGCAGUAGGGAAUCUUCGGAAAUGGACGAAAGUCUUACCGAGCAACGCCGCGUGAGGUAAGAAGGUUUUCGGAUCGUAAAGCUCUGUUGUGAUAGAAGAACGGGUAUUAGAUUGGAAAGUUCACACUGUGACGGUAUCUUAACAGAAAGGGACGGCUAACUACGUG